rnacentral:rRNA from 1 species
GUGGGGAAUAUUCCGCAAUGGACGAAAGUCUGACGGAGCAACGCCGCGUGAGUGAUGAAGGUUUUCGGACUGUAAAGCUCUGUUGUUUAGGACGAAAGUGCCUGUUGCAAAUAGUUACAGGUAUUGACGGUACUGAACGAGGAAGCCACGGCUAACUACGUGCCAGCAGCCGCGGUAAUACGUAGGUGGCAAGCGUUGUCCGGAAUUAUUGGGCGUAAAGAGCAUGUAGGCGGGAAUCUAAGUCUGUUGUGAAAAUGCGGGGCUCAACCCCGUAUUGCGAUGGAAACUGGGUUUCUUGAGUGCAGGAGAGGAAAGGGGAAUUCCCAGUGUAGCGGUGAAAUGCGUAGAUAUUGGGAGGAACACCAGUGGCGAAGGCGCCUUUCUGGACUGUGUCUGACGCUGAGAUGCGAAAGCCAGGGUAGCGAACGGGAUUAGAAACCCCUGUAGUCC